GCCUGAGUGGCUCAGUGGUUGAGCGUCUGCCUUUGGCUCAGGGCAUAAUCCCGGAGUCCAGGGAUCGAGUCCCUCAUCGGGCU
rnacentral:tRNA from 1 species